UAUUAUAUAAUAUAUAGUUUUUGUUCAUGAUAUCAACAAGUGCCCCUAGUGCAGAUCUUGAUGGUAGUAGAAAAUAUUCAAAUGAUAACUUUGAAGAGUGAAGUGGGGAAAUGUUCCACGUGAACAUCACUUGGACAUGGGUUAGUCAAUCCUAAGAGAUGGGGAAUCCUUGUAUCAAGGGUGCACUCUUCAUGAACAUCAAAAGAGAAUUGGGUUAAUAUUCUCGAACCGGGACAUGGUAGUGGAUGACAAUUUUAGGAAAUCUAGAGAUGUCAUCGGGGGCUUGGGAAGAGUUAUGUUUUCCUUUUAAUGACUUUCCCACCCUGAAAUCGAUUCAACCAGAGAUAGGGUCCAACAUAUAUAAGAGCACCACAUGUCUUUUGGUGUUUGGUUCCCCCUUGACGACCAUUGCAAAUAUGGAGAACCAAGUACCAUCCAUGCACGAUCAUACUCAUAUCUUCCUCCUUGGAUUUUUCAAUGCCCACUAGGU
rnacentral:ncRNA from 1 species